rnacentral:piRNA from 1 species
UGCCAGCACAUUUGGUAUGGAGAGAGC